CACAGUGGAAAGGGCAGUCCAGGCUUCAGAGCCUGGCUCUGCCCCUUACAUUAAUGGAUAGAUAAUAAUCCGCCUCCAUCCACUACAGAUUUCGUGUGAGGACAAAAUGAAUUAAUAUUUGUAAGGAACUUAAAACAAUGCCUGGUAUAGAGUAAGCGAAAUCUGAAAGUUUGCGAUUAUCUCUUAUCAUCCCGUUGAAUAAGCCAUCUCACUCCGAGUGGCAGUUUCUUGCCUGCAAAAUAGGCUCUAACUCCACUCUAAUAGGUGGAGUUUGAGGAUUGGCUGAGAUUGCUCAUAAAAAGCACCUGGUGCAAACGCCUGCACAUAGCAGGUGCUCGGUGAACGUGAAUUCCCUUCCACUCCCCUCCGCUAGGGUCAUUUUGGAAGCGCGCCCCUUGCAGCAACAUUGUUUGUCGUAGGGGAGUGGGAGCCAGGUCCCGGGAAAGUGCUGUGCUGGGCAGGCUGGGCCAAGACAUGGAACCAAAAGGCAAGAGCCAUCUCUGCUUGCCUGAACCAGCAGGAGAAAGAGUAUUACUGCCUUCCUUCACGUGGGAUGGGCCCUGGGCAGGGAGGCACAAGCGUUGGGCUCUGGCCUCAGCUCAGCCUGCGAACAAUUUGUUGUGCAGAAUGGGACAGGAGUCUGAGGCCUCUCUCGGUGGCUCCCCAUGUGGAGAGGGGCAGGGCCAGGGGAUGUGCACCCCGGGGUUAAUUCUGGCCAGUCAUUCCCUGCAGACCUGUCCGGUGCCCAUCCUCCUUCCCAUCCUCAUUCUAGAGCUCUCUCUUGUCAACAUUCCACCUUGACAAUAGUUUUUGCUACCAGAUUUUGUCAUUCUCUGGCACAGCUCAGCGUGCUCAUUCCUCCUGGACGCACUUCUCUGCUCUGCCCGGAGGAUGGCGAGGAAGUGACAUCUCCAUGGAAACAGGUGUUGAUCCCACAGUUGCUUAGCGAUGUGCUGGUGUGCUGCAGGAUGAUAUAUUUUGUCCCAGUUAAAAAUAGUGCUUCGCACAAGAGCUGAAAACAGGCUUCUUCACUAAACGCUUCCUCAAGCUGGUUCUCAGCUUCCUCCUGAAUCAUUACCCUCGAGCCAGUUCGCUGAGAUCUCAGGGAGAUACACGCCAAGAAACGCCAUGCUUCCUCCGGGGAAAGUGCCAGCGGGUACCCACCCCACUGCGGUCGAACCAGCCCAAACCAGGUCUACGAAGUCCGGCAGGGCUGUCCAUUCCAGGACCACCUCCUGGUCUUCCUUAGGCGAAGAGGAAGGACCGCCCCUUCUGACCUGGUUGAAGGAACCUGCAGUCACUCCCGGGUCUCUAUUUUACCACAGCCUGUUAGCAGCCCAGAAUAGCUCCCGAGCCUUCGAUUCCGUGCUCCGGGCAGAGUCUUGAACCAUCAGGAAAUGGUUUUUGCGGUGUGCCAAGGAGGCAGAGGGGGAGGCAGGGAUGGAAAAUCCAAACAUCCCUCCCGAGUCACGGCGAAGAGGCAACCCAUGUUUUCAAGUCAGUCUGGAUCUCAAACAUUGAGUGCCACUUGUGCGAUGGGUUCCUGCCAUUCUUCCCUCUGGGAAUUAGAAGAAGUCGUGACAGCCUGUGGAACCAUCCAGCUGAGUAAGGGGACAGGUCCCUGAGCUGGCGGGAACUGUUACUGAGGCCUCGCCCACACUGAAGAUCAUAAUGCCAUGAAGAAAGUUCUGGCAACUCUGGAAACCUAAGGGAAAGCAUGCCUGUCUCCCCCACCCCUGCCAGUAUUCAGUCACAUAUGUGCUCUUCGUCUUCUGUAUAACUUCCAUCUUGGCACGUUUGAGAGAGAAGUUUGCUGUGUUUGUCUGCCCAAUGGGCUGCCUUCGUUAUAGAUUGUAAAUAACUUCUUUCCAGAAUUUCAAGACUUUCUUUUUUUCUUUAGGAUGACAUUUAAUAUUUUCCAUGCAGUUUGCCUUUCUGGGAGAAUGUUCUCAGGGAUGAGUAACUUUGGGUUGUCUUCCUUUCAACUGCUUUCCCUAUUUUAAAGGUCUCAUUCUU
ensembl:lncRNA